UACGUAGGGGGCAAGCGUUGUCCGGAAUCAUUGGGCGUAAAGCGCGUGUAGGCGGCCCGAAAAGUCUGGUGUGAAAUCUUGAGGCUCAACCUCAAGCUGUCACUGGAUACUGUCGGGCUUGAGUCUGGAAGAGGAGUGUGGAAUUCCUGGUGUAGCGGUGGAAUGCGCAGAUAUCAGGAGGAACACCAAUGGCGAAGGCAGCACUCUGGUACAUGACUGACGCUGAGACGCGAAAGCGUGGGGAGCAAACAGG
rnacentral:rRNA from 1 species